UUUCCCCAACAACACCCACACACAACAGAACCCACAUACCCCAACAGAAAAAAAAAAGAAAAGAAAAAAAAGAAAGAAGAGGGAGAAGGGAGAGCUGAGAGGAUGAGGAGGAAAGGAAGGGGGCGGCGUCAGCGGGGCUGGGAGCCGCCGUCGCCGUCGAGUCAUUGAGAAAGAGAGAAAGGCCGCGAUUGAAAGAGGAGAGAGGAGCUGCCUUGCAUCUUACUAUCGCCGUCGCCCUCAUCCCGAAUCGCCAUUAUCACCGGUGCAGGGAGGAGCCGUCGUGCCGCCACUGCUGUUGGGUCGCUGUGCUAUCGUCAGAAAGCAGAGUGCGUACAGAGGAAGGAGAAGCCCUGUCUUUGUGUCCGCCGCCGCUGCCUCUGAGUCCGUCGCUGUCAAGCAGAGCCACAGGCAGAGGGGAGAGAUCCGUGAGGAGGGAGGACCGCGAACAGUCCAGCCGCCGCGCACAGUCGCCGCUGGUGUCGCCGGCGCCAUCCUCAUCAGAUCUGCCACCUCCAAAGCUUCUGGCCGCGCCUUUGCCGCCGGAGAACGCCGCUGCCGCCCAGAAACCGCCACUGAAGCCUAGGUAUGCUUGUCACCGCGAGUUUCUCUGUGGUGCGUCGCCGUCAGACGCCGCCGUGACCACCACUGAACUCUACGCUGGCGUUAGUCACUGAUAGAGGUUGAAUAUUGAUGCUAGUGUUGUCGCGGGACUGUUGAAGCUGUUACUAGUUCUGAUUUUGUUAUCCUGGGUUGUAAUUGCUACUAAUUCCUAUCCAAUCUGAAUCUUUUAUUUUGCUGCAACCAUGGUCACUGCGGUGAAGAUUAACAUUACCGCUACCGCUGUUUCGGUUGCUGCCAUUGCCGUUCUAAUUGCGUGAGAGGCGCAUCUGCUGCCAUGAACUAAAAGGAGAGGGAAUUAUCACGAUAAAUUUGUGCGAACUCGGUUAAUCGAGCUUUACCUUUUCAGGAACCGGAUGAAGAAGUAUUAAGAAGAAUUAUACUGCGUUUGGUUUAUAUAUUGUUGUAUCAAUUAGUUUAUUUUCUUCCCCCGUCUUUGUUAUUACAAAUUUGUAAGAUGGAUAGAAAUUGUAUGUUUUAUUUGUAUAUACUAUUAUGAGUUAGUAUGUAAAGAGUCUUGUAUAUAAAUCUAUGCUUGCUUGUAUUUUUCUUAAGAUUAGGUAUUAAUUUCCGGUUUUUGAAGAAAUCAGCGAUACAGUGUCGAGUCACAGGCUCCUAUUUUAGUAUUUAGUAUGUAAAGUAGUCGUAAUACUUCUUGCUAUCAGAGUAGCGCAGUCGGAAGUGUGACUUUUGAUAGUGAGGGUGUUACAUUGUGGUAUCAGAGCGGUCUUUCUUGUAGAGCCUGAGGAAUAGACCGACUAUGCUUCAAUUGCAUACUCUGAGCGUCUGUCAUGUAAUAGGUCUCGUCCAGAUAGCGAGAAUUAGAGUUUUAUGCACAUGAUUGCCUAAUGAUUAACGCUAUUAGCUUAUCGUUGCAUAUUUGCUGAUAUUAAGUUUGGCCAACUUAAUAUUGGUGGCUUAUGUGAACGGGAAAGUUAACAGGUUAUUGUAGGCGAAGAAGAAUUGAUAAGUAAUGCGUAAUGCGAGUCACAUGGUUUGCAGAUGUUAGAGUCCGCUUUUCGUGCUUGGCUUCGAUUUAUGAUUCUUGUUUACGUCGCUUAGGUUGGCGAAUCGUUUUUUUUUUACUAUCCUUAUUGCAAUUCCUUAUCCUCAUUGAAAUUCCUUUACUUGAAUUCCUUUCUUGAACCAUGAUUUUUACUCGAAUUCCUUUCUUGAACCAUGAUUUGACCAUUCUCCAACCAUAUUUUAUUAUUUAUCCAUAAUCUUGUUUGACUGUAUUCCUGAGAAUUUGCUUGAGACUUUCAAAACAUAUUUAUCCUUAUUAUUGAUUAUGUUCUUCUUUAUGAAAACCU